rnacentral:lncRNA from 1 species
UAGGGUAAAUUAGGGUUUAGGGUAAUUCAGGGUUUAGGGUUUGGGGUUGGGCUUAGGGUGAUUCAGUUUUAGGGUUUAGGGUAAUUCAGGGGUUAGGGUACAUUAGGAUUUAGGGUAAUUCAGGGUUUAGAGUAUAGGGUUUAGGGUUAGGGUUUGGGUUUAUUCAGAUUUAGGGUUUGGGGUUAGGGCUUAGGGUGAUUUGGGUUUAGGGUUUAGGGUAAUUCAGGGGUUAGGGUAAAUUAGGGAUUAGGGUAAUUCAGGUUUAGGGUAUAUAAGAGUUUAGGGUUAAUUAGGGUUAGGGCAAUUCAGGGGUUAGAGGUUAGGGUUUGGGGUUAUUCAGGUUUAGGGUUUAGGGUAAUUCAGGGAUUAUGGUAAAUUAGGGUUUAGGGUAAUUCAGGGUUUAGGGUUUGGGGUUGGGGCUUAUGGUGAUUCAGGUUUAGGGUUUGGGGUAAUUCAGGGUUUAGAGUAUAGGGUUUAGGGUUUAGGGAUAGGGUUUAGAGGUUUGGGUGUGGGGUAAUUCAGAAUUAGGGUUUGGGGUUAGGACUUAGGGUGAUUAGGUUUAGGGUUUAGGGUAAUUCAGGGUCUAGGGUAUAUUAGAGUUUAUGGUUAAUUAGGGUUAAGGGAAUUCAGCGGUUAGGGUUUAGGGUUAUUGAGGUUUAGGGUUUAGGGGGUUUAGGGUUAUUCAGGUUUAGGGUUUAGGGUGAUUCGGGUUUAGGGUUAGGGUAAUUCAGGGGUUAGGGUAAAUUAGGGUUUAGGGUAAUUCAGGGUUUAGGGUAUUUUGGAGUUUAGGGUUAAUUAGGGUUAGGGCAAUUCAAGGGUUAGGGUUUAGGGUUAUUUAGGGUUAUUUAGGUUUAGGGUUUAGGGUUUAGGGUUAAGGUUUAGGGUGAUUCAUGUUUAAGGUUUAGGGUUAGGGUUUAGGGAUAUAUAUAAUUCUGUGUAACUUUAACCGUUCGUAUUUAUAACAGAAUAAUGUUUUUUUGAGUGCCUUAAUUAUAACAAAAUUGAUUAAAAUUUUACAGAGAUGAUUUAUUAAAUUGUAUCUAAAUAUUAGACCGUGGAGAUGUGAAAAUUCGAUUAAAAAGGGAGUGUAAAGUGGAAAUCUGCAGCGUAAGAAUAAAUACAGACGUCCGCAGCUGAAAAGCUCUACAUAUAUAUAUAUAUAAGAAGGUUCGAAUUCUUUUUUUUAUUUUUUGUUUUUGUUAUUUUUCGAUUGGAUUGGUUCAAGCACACCUUCAAAUAUGUUAGAAGGUUGAAACAUGAUUUUAUAAAGAUGUUGAUGUUGGGAGGUGUUUACACGCACACAAAUGGAAAAACCAUAGGUCAAAAUAGGUGACUCAAAACUCCUGUGUUUUUUUUGGUUCAAAAUGCCUUUCAGCACACGGUUUUUCUGGUUAAAAUUGAAUGUUCUUAAUUUUGAACCAAACUUUUUCUAUUAUCAAAUCAUCAUUUCUAAGUAUCUCUCGAGCUGACGGAACACGAAAAUCUUAAUCCGAUUUGUGUAUACGAGUUCCGCUUGAUUUCGACCCAAAAUCUCUUGCUAUAGCACAAGGUUUUUCGGGUCAAAAUUGAACGUUCUUAUUUUUAAACCAAACAUU